GAAUGUUACAGCUGUUUUAGAAUUUGUCUAGUAGCUUUCUGGGAGGUCUUUACCAGAAAGCCUC
rnacentral:snRNA from 1 species